rnacentral:rRNA from 1 species
GAUGAACGCUAGCUACAGGCUUAACACAUGCAAGUCGAGGGGAAACGACAUCGCAAGCUUGCUUUUGAUGGGCGUCGACCGGCGCACGGGUGAGUAACGCGUAUCCAACCUGUCCAUCACUUGUGGAUAACCUUGCGAAAGUAAGACUAAUACCCAAUGAUAUCUCUAGAAGACAUCUGAAAGAUACUAAAGUUUUAUCUGUGAUGGCUGGGGAUGCGUCUGUUUAGCUUGUUGUCGGGGUAACGGCCCUCCAAGGCAACGAUCAGUAGGGGUUCUGAGAGGAAGGUCCCUCACAUGGGAACUGGGACACGGGCCAAAGUCCUACGGGAGGCAGCAGUAAGGGAUGUUGGAGAAGGGGAGAGAGCAUGAACCAGCCAAGUAGCAUGCAGGAAGGCGGCGCUAUGGGUUGUAAACUGCUUUUAUAAGGGAAUAAUGUGAGAGGCGGGACUCUUUGUGUAUGUAACGUAUGAAUAAGGACCGGCUAAUUACGUG